AGUGUACAGGUUUCCGUUGGUAACAGCGGAGGAUCAUA
rnacentral:rRNA from 1 species